ACGAACGCUGGCGGCGUGCUUAACACAUGCAAGUCGAGCGGUAAGGCCCUUUCGGGGUACGACGAGCGGCGAACGGGUGAGUAACACGUGGGUGACCUGCCCUCAGCUCUGGGAUAAGCCUGGGAAACUGGGUCUAAUACUGGAUAUGACUCCACGGUGCAUGUCGUGGGGUGGAAAGCCUUGUGCGGCUGAGGAUGGGCCCGCGGCCUAUCAGCUUGUUGGUGGGGUGAGGCCUACCAAGGCGACGACGGGUAGCCGGCCUGAGAGGGCGACCGGCCACACUGGGACUGAGACACGGCCCAGACUCCUACGGGAGGCAGCAGUGGGGAAUCUUGCGCAAUGGGCGAAAGCCUGACGCAGCGACGCCGCGUGA
rnacentral:rRNA from 1 species